rnacentral:rRNA from 1 species
UACGUAGGGGGCGAGCGUUGUCCGGAUUUAUUGGGCGUAAAGAGCGUGUAGGCGGCCAGGUAGGUCUGCUGUGAAAACUCGAGGCUCAACCUCGAGACGCCGAUGGAAACCAUCUGGCUAGAGUCCGGAAGAGGAGAGUGGAAUUCCUGGUGUAGCGGUGAAAUGCGCAGAUAUCAGGAAGAACACCCGUGGCUAAGGCGGCUCUCUAGUACGGUACUGACGCUGAGACGCGAAAGCGUGGGGAGCGAACAGG